UAUUGGCCAGAGACCGAUAGCGCACAAGUAGAGUGAUCGAAAGAUGAAAAGCACUUUGGAAAGAGAGUUAAACAGUACGUGAAAUUGUUGAAAGGGAAGCGCUUGCAACCAGACUUGCGGGCGGUCGAUCAUCCGAGGUUCUCCCCGGUGCACUCGAUCGUUCUCAGGCCAGCAUCGGUUUCCGGGGUGGGAUAAAGGCGGUGGGAAUGUGGCUCUUCGGAGUGUUAUAGCCCACCGUGCAAUGCCGCCACUGGGGACCGAGGACCGCGCUUCGGCUAGGAUGCUGGCAGUAAUGGUUGUAAGCGACCCGUCUUGAAACACGGACCCAAGGAGUCUAACAUCUAUGCGAGUGUUUGGGUGUCAACCCAUACGCGUAAUGAAAGUGAACGGAGGUAAGAGCCCUUUAGGGUGCAUUAUCGACCGAUCCUGAUGUCUUCGGAUGGAUUUGAGUAAGAGCAUAGCUGUUGGGACCCGAAAGAUGGUGAACUAUGCGUGAAUAGGGUGAAGCCAGAGGAAACUCUGGUGGAGGCUCGCAGCGGUUCUGACGUGCAAAUCGAUCGUCAAAUUUGCGUAUAGGGGCGAAAGACUAAUC
rnacentral:rRNA from 1 species